rnacentral:rRNA from 1 species
CACGUAGGUCCCGAGCGUUAUCCGGAUUUACUGGGCGUAAAGCGUGUUCAGGCGGUCCAGCAAGUCGGGCAUGAAAUCUCUCGGCUCAACCGGGAGGGGUUGUCCGAUACUGCUGGGCUUGAGGGCAGCAGAGGGUGGUGGAAUUCCGGGUGUAGUGGUGAAAUGCGUAGAUAUCCGGAGGAACACCAGUGGCGAAGGCGGCCACCUGGGCUGUACCUGACGCUCAAACACGAAAGCUAGGGGAGCGAACGGG